CAAACGAAUUGACGGGGACCCGCACAAGCGGUGGAGCAUGUGGUUUAAUUCGAUGCAACGCGAAGAACCUUACCUGGCCUUGACAUACUAAGAACUUUCCAGAGAUGGAUUGGUGCCUUCGGGAACUUAGAUACAGGUGCUGCAUGGCUGUCGUCAGCUCGUGUCGUGAGAUGUUGGGUUAAGUCCCGCAACGAGCGCAACCCUUUUCCUUAUUUGCCAGCGGGUUAAGCCGGGAACUUUAAGGAUACUGCCAGUGACAAACUGGAGGAAGGCGGGGACGACGUCAAGUCAUCAUGGCCCUUACGGCCAGGGCUACACACGUGCUACAAUGGUCGGUACAAAGGGUUGCUACCUCGCGAGAGGAUGCUAAUCUCAAAAAGCCGAUCGUAGUCCGGAUCGCAGUCUGCAACUCGACUGCGUGAAGUCGGAAUCGCUAGUAAUCGCGGAUCAGAAUGCCGCGGUGAAUACGUUCCCGGGCCUUGUACACACCGCCCGUCACACCAUGGGAGUUUGUUGCACCCAGAAGUAGGUAGUCUAACCGCCAAG
rnacentral:rRNA from 1 species